UGGCCUGAGCUCAAGCAUCUAGACGCUUCCAGAUCGAUGCCUCGCCGUCACGUUAUAUAAUACAAAGCGAAAGCUGCCAAAGCUAGAAAGGAAGAUCCGCACACAGUCGAAUUGGCACUGAUCGGUGAAAUGACAAGAGGGGUUGCAAGAUCACGCUACGCCAGGCAAAGCUUUCUGAUAAAAUUUAAAAGAGAAGAUAUGAAAACGCUGAAAUCAAAGAUGGUUUUGAUAAGCAAAGAACAAAGAGCUGAGAAAAGGUUACAUUUUUGGUGUUUUGAACUGUUCAAGACCCGACCAGGUGAAGUUCAAUCAUUACUUUGAACCAAGUUUAACUUAACACGGGAGUACUUGUCUUUGUCUCCCUGGAGAACUUUGAUCGAUCCAUGCCGACCCAACUGGAAUCAGAAAUCGAUGGCAAUCGAUUUACAUGGGCUCCCAAGCCAUACAAGUAUAGCAGAAGAAUGCUAGCUCCAUAUGGGGUCCCAAUCCAUACAAUUAGUUUUAAUUUUUGCAGAAAAUAACAUUUUUCUUUACAAAAUAUAAUAUAAUUAAGCGUACUAUCAACAAGGUUUUUGUCUCAAUUACAAGAAAGAUAGUGAGAAUUUGAGGUCGAAGGGUCUUCGUUCUGG